rnacentral:lncRNA from 1 species
AAGGGACUUUGCAGAUAUGAUUAACUGAAGCAUCUUGAGAUGGAAAGAUGAUCCCAGAUUAUCCAGUGGGGCUAAUGUCAUCACAAGGGUCUUUAUGAAAAGGUGAUGUGGGGUGAUGUCAGAAGAUGUCAGAGGCCAGAGUGAUGCGAUUGCCAAAAGUGACCAUGAGCCAAGGAGUGUGGGCAGCCUCUGGAGGUUGGAGUGGACAAGAAAAUGGAUUAUUCCCUGAACCUUCAGAAGAAAUGAAGUCCUGUGACACACUGAUAUUAGGAUUCCUGAUAUUCAGAAUUCUGUUUUACAAGUAUGUGGCGUCACAUCCAGAUCUGGCUGAUUCUAUAGCUGCUGUCCAUCUCUGUACCAGGCUACUUCAGAUACUUGAUGGUUUGCAACUUUGCAAGUCUGGAUGCAUGUGAAAAUGACCCAGGAAGCAACAACAAAAAUCCAAGGCACUGGCAUCAGUGUGUUUUAAAAGCAUAUUCUACUGUGCAUUCAGGGUUGGAGACUACUGCUGCCUUACCCUAGCCUAGCCCAGGAAGCUGGGGGAGAAUAAAGUAUUUCUCUAUGAUGUUGGCAGCUCAUGUCCACAGUGGAUCUUAUCACCUCCAGUCUUCCUUUCCUUACUUGUGGUUUCUUGCCAUUCCACCUUAGCCUGGAAUUACGUUCCAUUUCCUUGAUGUCUGUAAUUCAUCUUGUCCCUUGAUUGACAGUCCAUUUGGGGCAUCCUUUUCCAGCAACACUUAGGAAUUCCUUCUGGCAAGGCUGUGAUUUGUCUCUUAACAGUGCACACCCUGAUAGCAAGUAAGGGGCUCCCCCUCCAUCCUCAUAUCCCAGUCCCUGUCUUCAUCCCCUGAUUACCCUCCUGCUAGCGGAGGGGAAGCUGACAGUUGUAAACUCUAAAUUGCUUGCAAAUAUUUUAUACUAUUCUUCCAAUCAGCACAGUUAUUAUGAGUACAUAGUCAGGAGUCACAGACAGGGGGACAUCAUCAGGUUCGAAACAUAAACCUCGUGCUCGUAUGUGACAGAGCCUAGGGUCCGACGCAAGCGUGUUGGUCAAAGUUGAAUACUCACAUUCCGUUAAUGCUGCUUACAAAUUACUUUUCUAAUUAAGCGCUUGCUUAUUAAAGAUGCAAUCUGUCACUGCAUGGGUGAUGCCCGACCACAUUCCUGUCUCUUCUUUGCUUCGUCCAGAUGUUGUUUACUAAAAUGUGUUUCCUCAAAAUUCUACUUUGCCAUUCCAUCCCUGAAGUCCUCCAGCCAUGAGUAAUACAGCCAGCUGAUGGCUACUCAAUAAAUAACUGCUUGCAGAGGAAUUUGGGGCAGGGGGAUGGGGGAAGAGGGGCAUGAGUUAGAAUGGCUGAUUUGUUUUUCCAGGUUGAAUGAGCCAAUUGCUAUUAAUCCGUAGCCCUACGAGGAUUUCUCUUGACAUGAAUUAAUCUACCUGUUCUCCGGACAAAAGGCAAAUGAGAAUGUGCUGGUA